rnacentral:tRNA from 1 species
UGGGGUAUAGCUCAGUGGUAGAGUGCAUGCUUAGCAUGCACAAGGUCCUGGGUUCAAUCCCCAGUACCUCUA